rnacentral:rRNA from 1 species
GAUGAACGCUGGCGGCGUGCCUAAUACAUGCAAGUCGAGCGAACGGACGAGAAGCUUGCUUCUCUGAUGUUAGCGGCGGACGGGUGAGUAACACGUGGAUACCCUACCUAUAAGACUGGGAUAACUUCGGGAAACCGGAGCUAAUCCCGGAUAAUCUUUUGAACCGCAGUGUUCGAAAGUGAGAGACGGUCUUGCUGUCACUUAUAGCUGGAUCCGCGCUGCAUUAGCUGGUUGGUAGGGUAACGGCUUACCAAGGCAACGAUGCAUAGCCGACCUGCGAGGGUGAUAGGCCACACUGGAACUGAGACACGGUCCAGACUACUACGAGAGGCAGCAGUAGGGAAUCUUCCGCAAUGGGCGAGAGCCUGACGGAGCAACGCCGCGUGAGUGAUGAAGGUCUUCGGAUCGUAAAACUCUGUUAUUAGGGAAGAACAGAUGUGUAAGGAACUGUGCACAUCUUGACGGUACCUAAUAAGAAAGCCACGGCUAACUACGUG